rnacentral:rRNA from 1 species
AGUGAACGCUGGCGGUAGGCCUAACACAUGCAAGUCGAACGGCAGCACAGUAAGAGCUUGCUCUUACGGGGGGCGAGUGGCGGACGGGUGAGGAAUACAUCGGCAUCUACUUUUUCGUGGGGGAUAACGUAGGGAAACUUAUGCUAUUACCGCAUACGACCUACGGGUGAAAGCAGGGGAUCUUCGGACCGUGCGAGAUUGAAUGAGCCGAUGUCGGACUCGCUAGUUUGCGGGGUAAAGGCCCACGAAGGCUAGGGUCCUUAGCUGGUAUGAGAGGAUGAAUCGCCACCCUGUCACUGAGGCACGGCCCCGACUCCUACGGUAGGCAGCAGCGCGGACUACUGCACGAUGCGGCAGUGCCUGAUCUUGCCCUACCGCGUAGGGCAUGAAGCCCCUCGGCCUGUAAAGCCCUUUUGUUGGGAAAGAAGAGCAGCAGGUUUAGACCCCGCUGUUCUGACGGUACCUACAGAAUAAGCACCGGCUAACUUCGUG